rnacentral:rRNA from 1 species
CCCCAGGUCUAACCAUGCAAGUCGCCUUUGAACCAACUCGUCCGCCCCCAGCCUUACCUCCUGCAAGUCGCGUGAAGGAAGAAGGAUUUAUGGUUGUAAACUUCUUUUGCAGGGGAAUAAAGUGCAGGACGUGUCCUUUUUGUAGUACCUCGAUAAGUACGAAGC